GCACGUUUAUUUUGUUGCCAUGUCACGUAAGAGUAUAAUAUACUUAUGAUAUAUCCGAGAGUGUAUAUAAAGACUAGAUUUUGUAGUAUGUUAAGGUGAUCAAAGUUUCUCUGUGUUACCUUUAUACAUGACAACAGAUUAUAAUGCUGCCAAAUUUAUGUGGGCUAUAACCAAACAAAACACUGUAAUUUCUUUCUGACAACAGUUUAGCUGGUGAAUUUUAUACAGAUUGUAAUAAUAUAAAACUGAUGUGGGCUUUAACCAAACCACAUACAAUAUUAUUUUUUCUGUCCGCACAUUAACUGGUCAUUUUUAUACAGAUUAUAAUAUUGUCAAAUCGACGUGGGCUAUAACCAAACAUCACUGUGAUUUUUUUCUUUCAGCAAACAGCCAAUGAUCUUUUGCAAGUGAAAAGAAUACAUAUUUAUAAGGCGCAAUCAAUGUGGGACCAAUACAAGGAUUUAGAGGACAAAACUAAUUAUAUGGACAGAUUAUAACAGGUUUUAUAUCGGAAAUAAUCUUGAAACGUGCAAGGGAAAUCUUCACAUUUUUCUAGAAGUCAUUUCCAUAAAAGCUGCGAAAGCCGUCAAGCUGAUGUACCAAACUAGCUAUAGAAUUUUUAGAUAGAUUUCCACUGAGAAUUUCCAUUUUUUUUCUCAAAUUGGUUUCAACUUUUAGAUAGUUAGAAUUAGAAUUAGAAGUUUAUUUUCUAGUGACAUACACAUUAUUGUAUGAACGUGCAGUUCACUGGUAAAGUAUCAAUACCCUUUGUAAUAAAAAUAGUUGUAAUGGCUUGCACAUUGCUACUUGUUUUGCUGUGUUGAUUAUGAGAAACCUUUUCAGUUAA